ACGCUAGACUUCUCUCUCUUUACACAUGGCAAAGAGACGGGCCGUCAUCUUUCUUCCUCAACAUAUAGCAAGAGAGUGAGCGACAAAUAAACGGAGGAACAGAGAUAGAGCAGGUUGACAGAGGGAGAGAAGGAAGUGCUAUAGGUUGGCGCUAAUUCAUGAUGUGCAGUUUAUACCAUCUGAACAUAGUCCUUCUCAGCAAACCAGUGACGCGUGUGGCAUCAGAAACCAGGGAGGAUUGAAGGAAGAAAUGCACGCUGUGUCUACUCUGAAGGGAGAUGACACUGCAUCGUGACUCAAGAGGGCUACCAUCCAAGCUGACCUUACAGAACGCUACAACAGAAACGGAGCCACAGCUCAAGGUGAAGAGUUCUGACUUUUGUGGUCCGGGACACUAUGGAAGACUAGUGAUUUUGUUGUUGUAAAUUCAGCACCCAGACAACAAGUCAUAGUCUACCUCAGUGUCCAGAACUCAUGCAUCAAUGACACCUCAAGCUUUUAGUAGAGACAUAAUCGUACAACGCUUAGGAAGAGUGGACUCUUUUUUUUGAAAUUGUAGGAUGCACUGUAACCUAUUGUCAUUUCCUAUGGCUCAUGUGUUCUUUGACAUUUCAUCAUAAAUUCACAUAAUGUAAGUCUAUUACCAUUAAAGAAAACUCUCCAUCUUGACUGAGGCAACUUUUAAUCUUCUUUUAAAAUAUAAUGGCUUUUGUCAGUUGUGUGUUUAGGCUGCAUCUGAUGUUAAAAUUGACACGUUUCAGCCAGAGGCUUCAAUCAUCAGAUGCUGAUGAAGACUUUAUGGCUGGCCAAAAUGGGUCCAUUGUGAGUGUUGAUAUGGAAUAAAUACUCAUACUUAAUCCUCUUCGUUCCUAUGUGGAACACAAGUUUUCUAAGGGAGAGCGCCACUGCUGCUGAUCUCCAGCCUUUUUGGGAAAUGUAUUGAAAUAUGUUAUAAAAUAAUGGAUUAUGUGUUGUGAUUUCUUAUUCGAUCAAGUCUUAAGAAAUCUUAUCGUAGGUCCUUAACUUCUUCUUUAGUGUUACCAAUCAGAAGGUUAUUAACACUGUAAUAACACAAUGCACACACUCUGUUUACAGAUAUCAUUCCAUGGCCCUUGAGUAGCAAAUAGUAAGUACUAAGCCUUGGACAGGAAAGCCUUGUCCGUGCCAGACGGACAAUAGUGCCAAAUGACUAUGUAUAAUUUCCCAGCAGUAUAGCCUUGAUCAAUGUAGUGAAAUUCUAGACCUCUAUCGAAUUUUAAAUAAAUUUGCCGCAAGGAAAGAAGAA